GGAGCUGGAGUGAGGUGAGGCCCUGCUAAAAAAUAAAGAUUUGAAUAAAAGCCUCUAGAAAAACAAAUCGUGCUGAAAAUCCUUGCAAAUAUGUGGAAGGUACAUGGAACAAAUGUACUUUGUAAAAUUAGGAGAGAAAAACAAAAAAAGUAAACUGUAAUCUCACAUUUUACCACUAGAUGGCACUCCACUCAUUUCACCUUUGCUUAAUUGAAUAAACAGGGCAAUUCACAAGGUUAAGAAGUAAUCAUCCAUCAUCUCAGAAGAAAAAAAAACUUUUUUUUUAGGAUCUGUAAACUGAUGACUAAAUUUUGAUAAGAGGAAGUAGAUCUGCUAAAUAGAAAUAAUUUGAACAGGCUUUUACCAAACUCAAACAUUUCAAUCUUUGCAAGACGAAACACCUCCAGACUUUCAGAGAGCUGAACUCUUUCUCAAAAGCACGAAUUAACUUUUCUUUUCUUUUUUUUUAUAGCUUAUUCUGGAUCUCAUCCCAGAAUUCCUCCUCGACGUUCACGAGCAGUGGUCUUCUCCAGCUUUUCUCCAAAUUUCAAGUAAAAACGUUUUAUAUAGACAAGUUAAAAAGCAGGAGACAUAUCGGUGAGAGAAGAGAAGGCUUCUUGGUCGACAUGCUGCUUCCACCGAGGUUCGGUUUCAAAGAGUGGGGCCUGAGCGGCCGACAUUCACAACACUAGCGUGGGAUUAUGGGAAGCGAAAAGUCUGAGGCCACAUCCUGUUUAACUUGUCCUCAGACUAGAAAGCUGCUGCUCCUCCGAAUUAAACACACAAACAGACGAGGGCAUGUUUCUGUGCGGUGGGUCGGGUCAUAAAAACAAUAAAAAGAAGAAAAAUCAAUAAUCUUAAAUUUAGAAAAAAGAUAUAUACACACACAUCAAUAACAUUAAAUUCAUCAUGUACAAGAGUAGGAAAACUUUACAGUCAGAAAAAAGUAUUGUAUUUAUCCUCCCCUACUUUGGCUAAAAAAAUAGAAAUCAACAUCUCUAUAAUGUAAUACUUUUAUAUCUGCAUAAAACAAAAAACAAUAAACCAUAAUCUGCUUUGUUCUCAACCCAAGAGUUUAGUGAACCUUCCCUAAAACCAAGUGCUUCUCUUUAUUUCCAUUUUUCUGGACAGAUGACAUUGGCUGCUAUUUACAGUUUGACGAGCUUAUUAUAAUUGUAGAGAUUUCCAAAUGAUACGCUUUUGUUGUUUUGUUUUGUGUGUGUGUGUGUGUGUGUGUGUGUGUGUGUGUGUGUGUGUGUGUGUGUGUGUGUGUGUGUGUGUGUGUGUCAGGGGGGAGGGAGGGACAGACACUCAGCACCUCCCACCUUAAGCCCCUCAUAAAUUGUUGCUUUGCACAAAAACAAGCGUCUAAGAAAACCCGCAGACAGAAAGAUGUGAGCUGCUUCGAGAUGAAACGUCACGGUUUCUGGGAUUAAAAAAAAAAAAAAAA